ACAGCCAAAUCACGUUGAAACACCGGUUCCCGUACAAUCAUCGAACUUAAGCAAUGUCAAGUCUAGUCAGUACCUAGAUGGGUGACUGCUUGGGAAUAGCAGGUGUUGUAA